rnacentral:tRNA from 1 species
CAUAGCUCAAUUGGCAGAGCGCAUGAUUCUGAAUCAUGAGGCUGCAGGUUCGAUCCCUGCUG